UACGAAGGGGGCUAGCGUUGCUCGGAAUCACUGGGCGUAAAGCGCACGUAGGUGGGUUUUUAAGUCAGGGGUGAAAUCCUGGAGCUCAACUCCAGAACUGCCUUUGAUACUGGAAAUCUUCGAGUCCGGGAGAGGUGGGUGGAACUGCGAGUGUAGAGGUGAAAUUCGUAGAUAUUCGCAAGAACACCAGUGGCGAAGGCGGCUCACUGGCCCGGUACUGACACUGAGGUGCGAAAGCGUGGGGAGCAAA
rnacentral:rRNA from 1 species